rnacentral:rRNA from 1 species
CGGUACGUACUGGCAUUGUUGGUUUCUCCCUUCUGACGAACCAUGAUGUCAUUUAUUUGGUGUUGUGGGGAAUCAGGACUGUUACUUUGAAAAAAUUAGAGUGUUUAAAGCAGGCUCACGCUUGAAUACAUUAGCAUGGAAUAAUGAAAUAGGACGUUUGAUUCUAUUUUGUUGGUUUCUAGGAUCGACGUAAUGAUUAAUAGGGAUAGUUGGGGGCAUUAGUAUUCAAUUGUCAGAGGUGAAAUUCUUGGAUUUAUUGAAGACUAACUACUGCGAAAGCAUUUGUCAAGGAUGUUUUCAUUAAUCAAGAACGAAAGUUAGGGGAUCGAAGACGAUCAGAUACCGUCGUAGUCUUAACCAUAAACUAUGCCGACUAGGGAUCGGAUGAUGUUAAUUUUUUAAUGACUCAUUCGGCGCCUUACG